GGCGCGCCCCGGGCGGGGCGGGGGCACGGGGGGAACGCGAAGAACCUUACCUACCCUUGACAUGGCAGGAAUCCUGGAGAGAUUGGGGAGUGCUCGAAAGAGAACCUGCACACAGGUGCUGCAUGGCUGUCGUCAGCUCGUGUCGUGAGAUGUUGGGUUAAGUCCCGCAACGAGCGCAACCCUUGUCAUUAGUUGCUACGCAAGGGCACUCUAAUGAGACUGCCGGUGACAAACCGGAGGAAGGUGGGGAUGACGUCAAGUCCUCAUGGCCCUUAUGGGUAGGGCUUCACACGUCAUACAAUGGUACAUACAGAGGGCCGCCAACCCGCGAGGGGGAGCUAAUCCCAGAAAGUGUAUCGUAGUCCGGAUUGUAGUCUGCAACUCGACUACAUGAAGUUGGAAUCGCUAGUAAUCGCGGAUCAGCAUGUCGCGGUGAAUACGUUCCCGGGUCUUGUACACACCGAACGGA
rnacentral:rRNA from 1 species